AGGAAUGUGCAAUUACGAAUGAAAAUGAUGAUAAGGAAAUUCAGCAAGACAAACAACGACUUCUAAAAGGAAAGGAGUGUGAAAUUAUGAAUGAAAAUGAUGAUAAGGAAACUGAGCAGGACAAACGACAACGUUUGAAAGGAAAGGAAUUCCACAAUUAUGAAUGAAAAUGAUGAUGAUAAAGAAAUUGAGAAGAGCAAACAAACAUUUCUCCAACCUUUGACUACAUCUAUGACUGAUGGUAAAAUGGCAUGCGGCAAACAGUAAAGUACUGGUGACAUGCCUCCUCCAAGGACGUAGCUUGGGAGGACCUAAGAGCUGGAGGCUCUAUUUUUGUAUUUGGAUUUAAAUGUUUAUUCAAGCCAAGGGCUUGUUAUUUGUAUAAAGCUUAUGACUCCCUUUUGUUGAAACUAAGCAAUGUCUUGGAAAGAUAUAAGCCCGCAGAGCAUUACUUUGUUGUUAUUAACUAGUGUUACAUACUGUAGAUUCAGGAUGAACAUUUAUGAAUGUAUAACGCAUGUAAUGUCUUUCGUAAUUUGAA